GGUUGUAUUGUGGCAUUUAAGUUAUAACUUUGUCUAUCUUGGUAAUUAUGUUGGACUAUUGAAUGAAAUAAAAUGCAUUAGGCAGGGAAAUUUAGGGAUUCAGUGCAUAAAUGUUCGUACAUGUUUAUGAUUAAUCUUUAAUAUGGUUGUAGGGUUGUGUUACUUUAGCCGGACAGAGGCAGUGACUGACAACGUGGCGUUGUUAUUUCCGGGUCUCAGAGGAGCCCAGCUUAGGCAGCGUGUAGACGUGUCAGAGGCAAAACUGCAAUGAGCUGAGAGAAUGCAGGGGACACACACUAACUCAGAUGCACACAAUACCAUCAGGAGGAACUAAGACAUCACUUAUCUUGCAUUGAGUCUUAAGGGAACACAGACAAACACUCCCUCUGUCACUAUAACACACAUAAGCAGGAGUCCCACCUUUCAGAGUGCCCACAGUAUCCCAGGUAACCUCAAUGGGAAACUUGAGCUCAGCAUCUUGAGGGACAAAGGCCUUGUAGCCAGCAUGGGAGGGAGACAGGGCUGCCCAGCUUGCCUUCUCCAGGAAGUUAGACUCAAAGUAUUCCAGCUGGUACAACUCAACAAGCACCCCAUGCUCAUCUGCACAUGGAGAGGAUGAAGUGUGUGUGUGUGUGUGUGUGUGUGUGUGUGUGUGUGAUUGUAGUGAUAAUUUAACAGGCUCCAGUGUGGGUUUCAUGAUUACUUGUGAUUCUCUUGAUAAUUUAACAAGGCCAGUGAUAAUUUAACAGAUUCCAACACAAGUUAAAAGGGUUUCUAUGUCUGUUUUCAUGAUUCUGGUAAUAGUUUAACAGAUUCCACAUCAUUUGGUAAAAAAAAAAAAAAAAAAAAUCCUGCGAACUUGACCAGUCCUCUCUGUGAGAACAACCCUAAUGAGAGGACAACAUUUCAGAAUACCGGGGUCCUUGAGUUAUGAUGCAGUUCAGCUCCUGCGCCAUGUCAUAAACCAGUUUUCAGUGUAGCGCUGAACCAACCUAAGUAGCAAGUACCUACAGUAUAAGAAAAAAAAAAAACACCCUUGAGAACCUCAAUAACUUCCAGUAGAGCCUGUUAAACUGUCACUGCCCUUCUUAACCUAACAUCAAAAUUCUAAAAUGCCCUUGAAAACCCAAAAUAACUUACACUAGAACCUUUUAAGCUACCACUGGCCACCCUUGAAAAACCUAAAUAACUUACAUUUGAGACUUUUAAGCAUAACUACUGUACCUGUAAAAAAACAUGGACAUACAGUAAAUAAAAGAAUAAUGAAAUAAAUCAGUGAAAAAAAAAAAAAAAA